rnacentral:rRNA from 1 species
GUGUCAGCCGCCGCGGUAAUACGUAGGGUGCGAGCGUUGUCCGGAAUUACUGGGCGUAAAGAGUUCGUAGGCGGUUUGUCGCGUCGUUCGUGAAAACUUGGGGCUUAACUCCAAGCGUGCGGGCGAUACGGGCAGACUUGAGUACUACAGGGGAGACUGGAAUUCCUGGUGUAGCGGUGAAAUGCGCAGAUAUCAGGAGGAACACCGGUGGCGAAGGCGGGUCUCUGGGUAGUAACUGACGCUGAGGAACGAAAGCGUGGGUAGCGAACAGGAUUAGAUACCCUCGUAGUCC